UUUCCUGUGUGGCGAGAUCCGAAGAAGAGUUAGGAGAAACGAGAGUUGUGUUGUGAUUAGUAGGUUUCGCUACGGGGCCGGUACGGUUUGCAACAAGCAACAUGUCACAUAAAGACUAGAGGUACAGUUAAAUACAUAUCCACACAAAAGUAUAGUUUAUAUAUAAGUUAUAUAUGCGUUUCUAUAUUCGUUUGGGUCGGCACUAUGGCAGGGUUCAAACAGAGGGUACUGCAGUUCUUAGGUAUUCUGCACUUAAAAGAUUAAACUCAUUUUAGAUCCGUUUGGGAUCGUAAUACUUGGGUAUUUGAAUAUACCCAUGGAAUAUAGGAAGCAUUGAAAUUGUUGAGAUAUACACUUCGGAGUAUACCAAAAAAUAUAAAAUCGAUUUAUAAAGUUACACAAUAUCAAGUUUAUAUAUGUAAUAACAACCAAGGAUAUCAGCCUUCACAGCAAAGCCGCUGGAAGUCAGGACUUGUGCAAUUAUUUCAAAAUAAAUUAAAAUAAGCUUUGAAGUGUCUUCUACGGAUCUACCACAAAAAUACAUUGAGGUGAAUAAUUAUUGGAAACACUGCACUCUGACCUCUCUUGGG